UACUAGCUAGCUUUAUAUCUGUCAGUGUCACUGUUGUGUGCAUAGACGUUCAUUUGGAAUAGACCAACCGUCCUGGGGAAAGGGGUGGCCAGCCAACCGUGUUGCUGACCAACCGUGUCACUCAAUCUCAGCCAAAUUUUACAGUUCAGUGGCGGUUCUGGCACAAUGUGCGCCCAGGGCGAGUUUAUCACUUGCACCCCACCCCCCCCACCCCGGGAGGAAGAAAUCGUGUGCCGCCCCCUACCCCGUCGGCCACCCCACGACAGCGCCCCCAGAACGAGCACCGCUACAAACUGGCUGCGACAAACGAAAACGAAACUGCUGCACGGCAAGCAGGGGUGCCUGCAGCUGCCUGAAGGGGGCGCCAAUAUGCCAGUUCCCCACUAACUGAAAUGAUCGAUAAGAGAAAACCACGCAGAUAUUUCUUUUUUUUUAAAUGCUCGUGCGCCCCCCACAUGACAUGAAAAAAUGCCGCCCCGGGCGGCUGCCCGGUCUGCCCGUGCCUAAAACCGCCCCUGUUAUAGUUAGUAAAAGGAAUAUAAGGCAAGCGAAUUAUAAGGCAAUCAGAAGUGCUUCGGCCCAUCGGGAAUUCUCCAGGUGCUCCCGAUGGCCAGUCCGCUACUGUGUAGCCUACUGUUAAUUUGCAGCUGUACAUAUUUUUUUUUGCCGUAGCACCACCUGAGACUUUUGCCAUUUCUACAAGUAAUUCUGUAUCAAAAAUCAACCGUGUAUUUUUCAAAUUCUCCCGCCUACCUACGGAGAUAUCAACAGCGCAACUGGGUUGUACUGUAGGUUGCGGCAGAGAAUGUAGUUAAUAUAGACGGGCUCUGGUUGCGGUCACAAAUGGGUUGAAAAUUGUAUAAUAGCCUAUGUAUUAUGUGAGUAGGAUGCGUUUCAUUCAAGAUCUGGCCACUGGACAACAUUGAAAUAAUAUAUUGAUGUGAAUAUUUAUAUAACGAGGUUUGGCCAUACAAAUUACGGGAGUUUCACGGGAGAAAUGACAAAACGGGAGGGGGGCGGGAGAUGGGUGUGAAAUACGGGAGACUCCCGGAGAAAACGGGAGUGUUGACAGGUAUGAGGGUGAGUAACGUUACUAAAGUUAAUUGGCACACUAGCUAACGUUUUAAAAGUUAAUUUGUGGUUCGUUAUUUGCAGGGCUUUUGUAGUCAGCGUUGUAGGUCAGUUGUUAUUAUUAACAUAUGACAUAAAUCUAAUCAAACCUUGUUUUCAAACGUCAGGUAAACCAUUCCUACAGUUUAAAUGACCCCCCCAGUAACAGCCUGGGUUGCGUUGGAGGAGGGAUUGGUGCGAUUUGGGCAUGGCACCUGUAUGGCAGGUUUAGGCGAAGUUUGUUCACAUGUAGGUGCCAUACUCUACACUUUGCUAGCAGCUGUGAACAAACUGAGUGGCACUGCAUGCACAGAUGAAGCCUGUGUCUGGAAUGAGCCUCGUAUAGCAGUCAUCAGCAAAGUAGGCUAUGCACCAGGGAGCCAGAUAGCUUUCACAAAUGCCCAGAGAAAGAGAUCUGUUGAUGGGUGUGGUGUCCUCCCCCCUGCCAAGUUACCACCUCCAACCCCAGAUGAAUGCACAUCAUUUUACAAAAUGGUACAUCUAUCUGAAGACACUAAAUGUCAACCAGUCAAAAGCUCAAUUUUGUCUGUUGUCCCUGGCCAUGCAAAGAGGUACAUAUAUCGGGCCGUCCAACUUAAACCAAAUAUACAAAGUACAGGUCACUGUCACACCAAGAGCUGCAGGCAAAGAGUGAAGAGAUCUUUACAGGGUUAAACAUAACAGAAUAACAGCAGGCAGAAAGGGUGGUGACUGCAUCAAACAUUAGAGCUGCCUGCCACACGAGUCCUGAGGAACCAGUUGUCUCCCUGCUGAAGAAGCUGCGCUACCCUGUACCAACAACACACCACACUCUCUCAGAUGCUGUGAUGAAGUGGAAGACGGGACUGGGAGAGAAGGCUGUGGAGCUCCUCACAGCGUAGACACUCAAACACGCCCCGGCAGCCCAUUCAAAACAAGCCAGGGCCAACAGACAGGACCUGUAGCGGGGACUGGCAGAAGAUGUUCAUUCACUGUUUGGCACUUUGUUUGAAAAUAAAAUGACUGAAUGUUACAUGGAAAUGCUGCCUUGUUUAUGAUUAGCUUGAGUUAUGCUACACACCACACAAACAUAGUCCUCCUGAAGUUGGCUAUGUAGCCUAUUAUACAAGAACAAGUAGCAUUUGGGGCAAAUAAGGUCUGCAUAUGAACCGCCCAAAUAUAAGCAACA